CUUACUAAGAGGUGUAUGCUGGGCAACUCUUUCCUCAUCCUACACAAGAACCUGGACUGUUUUUGGCCCAUUCAACUGUAACAUGUGAAAUACCAAAGCUUUCCAGAUCUGAGAUGUGCGGUUGGUCUGAAAUGGAUGGUGUGAAUGAUGUGAAUCCACAGAUCCACAAUGCGGAACAUAGAGGAGACUCAUAAGACACAUGAGGCCAAACUGGGCACACAGAAUUUGUAAGGAGAUAUCAUUGUGUCUCCCAAGAGCAAUUGCUGAGCUUGCAAUGUAAGGAAAAACAAAU
rnacentral:lncRNA from 1 species